rnacentral:rRNA from 1 species
CAGCAGUAGCCGCGGUAAAACGUAGGUGGCAAGCGUUGUCCGGAAUUAUUGGGCGUAAAGGGCUCGCAGGCGGUUUCUUAAGUCUGAUGCGAAAGCCCCCGGCUCAACCGGGGAGGGUCAUUGGAAACUGGGAAACUUGAGUGCAGAAGAGGAGAGUGGAAUUCCACGUGUAGCGGUGAAAUGCGUAGAGAUGUGGAGGAACACCAGUGGCGAAGGCGACUCUCUGGUCUGUAACUGACGCUGAGGAGCGAAAGCGUGGGGAGCGAACAGGAUUAGAUACCCGAGUAGUCCCUGUCUCUUAUAA